GAUGAACGCUGACAGAAUGCUUAACACAUGCAAGUCUACUUGAACUUCGGUUUGGGUGGCGGACGGGUGAGUAACGCGUAAAGAACUUGCCUCACAGAUAGGGACAACAUUUGGAAACGAAUGCUAAUACCUGAUAUUAUGAUUUUAGGGCAUCCUAGAAUUAUGAAAGCUAUAUGCACUGUGAGAGAGCUUUGCGUCCCAUUAGCUAGUUGGAGAGGUAACGGCUCACCAAGGCGAUGAUGGGUAGCCGGCCUGAGAGGGUAAUCGGCCACAAGGGGACUGAGACACGGCCCUUACUCCUACGGGAGGCAGCAGUGGGGAAUAUUGGACAAUGGACCGAGAGUCUGAUCCAGCAAUUCUGUGUGCACGAUGAAGUUUUUCGGAAUGUAAAGUGCUUUCAGUUGGGAAGAAAAAAAUGACGGUACCAACAGAAGAAGUGACGGCUAAAUACGUGCCAGCAGCCGCGGUAAUACGUAUGUCACAAGCGUUAUCCGGAUUUAUUGGGCGUAAAGCGCGUCUAGGUGGUUAUGUAAGUCUGAUGUGAAAAUGCAGGGCUCAACUCUGUAUUGCGUUGGAAACUGUGUAACUAGAGUACUGGAGAGGGUAAGCGGAACUACAAGUGUAGAGGUGAAAUUUGUAGAUAUUUGUAGGAAUGCCGAUGGGAACCAGCUUACUGGACGGAAACUGACGCUUAAGCGCGAAAGCGUGGGUAGCAAACAGG
rnacentral:rRNA from 1 species